rnacentral:rRNA from 1 species
CGAGCGAACUGAUUAGAAGCUUGCUUCUAUGACGUUAGCGGCGGACGGGUGAGUAACACGUGGGCAACCUGCCUGUAAGACUGGGAUAACUUCGGGAAACCGAAGCUAAUACCGGAUAGGAUCUUCUCCUUCAUGGGAGAUGAUUGAAAGAUGGUUUCGGCUAUCACUUACAGAUGGGCCCGCGGUGCAUUAGCUAGUUGGUGAGGUAACGGCUCACCAAGGCAACGAUGCAUAGCCGACCUGAGAGGGUGAUCGGCCACACUGGGACUGAGACACGGCCCAGACUCCUACGGGAGGCAGCAGUAGGGAAUCUUCCGCAAUGGACGAAAGUCUGACGGAGCAACGCCGCGUGAGUGAUGAAGGCUUUCGGGUCGUAAAACUCUGUUGUUAGGGAAGAACAAGUACAAGAGUAACUGCUUGUACCUUGACGGUACCUAACCAGAAAGCCACGGCUAACUACGUGCCAGCAGCCGCGGUAAUACGUAGGUGGCAAGCGUUAUCCGGAAUUAUUGGGCGUAAAGCGCGCGCAGGCGGUUUCUUAAGUCUGAUGUGAAAGCCCACGGCUCAACCGUGGAGGGUCAUUGGAAACUGGGGAACUUGAGUGCAGAAGAGAAAAGCGGAAUUCCACGUGUAGCGGUGAAAUGCGUAGAGAUGUGGAGGAACACCAGUGGCGAAGGCGGCUUUUUGGUCUGUAACUGACGCUGAGGCGCGAAAGCGUGGGGAGCAAACAG